rnacentral:rRNA from 1 species
CGUCGCCGCGGUAAUACGAAGGGUGCAAGCGUUAAUCGGAAUUACUGGGCGUAAAGCGUGCGUAGGCGGUGAGUUAAGUCUGCUGUGAAAUCCCCGGGCUCAACCUGGGAAUGGCAGUGGAUACUGGCUCGCUAGAGUGUGUCAGAGGAUGGUGGAAUUCCCGGUGUAGCGGUGAAAUGCGUAGAGAUCGGGAGGAACAUCAGUGGCGAAGGCGGCCAUCUGGGACAACACUGACGCUGAGGCACGAAAGCGUGGGGAGCAAACAGGAUUAGAUACCCCCGUAGUCCCUGUCUCUUAUACA